rnacentral:lncRNA from 1 species
CGAUUGCGAAUGUGUUUCAUUUUCCAAGUUCCAGUCACAGACAUUUGCACUUACAAACCUGACCCUUUUCUCCAAAGCGACUCAGAAUGUUCAGCUACUUAAACUGAUUUAGCCAUUUUUUCUACUGGACUGGAAUUAUGCAAAGGCUUAUUUCACUCGAUGUCAAAAAUGAAUGAGUAAUAAGCUUGGGUGCUAGAAUCCCCAAAAUAGCGAGCAAGUUAGAAAAACGUUGGGAGAACACACUGAAGCUUCAUGAAAUAAUACUUUAAUUUGUACAGUACGGAUAUAUUUCGACAAGAUGCUUUCCUCAGGAUACAUGUCCAUGUCAUAAGGAGCGACACAAAUACCAGAGAGUACGGAGGUUAUGACAUCACUGGAAUAGCAGUUGAGCGCAGUGCUGAAAUAGUAACUACCACAAGAGUACACCAAAUAAUAUGAGGCUAAUAAGUACAAAUACUGAGCAAUUCAGGGUAGGGACUUCACUGAAGGGUACUGCAGCAGGAGGUGGGAUUCAAACCUGCAAACUCCUGAAGCCACUAUCUAUGUAGGAAGUACUUUCUUUUUUUAAGAGCCCCAAAAAAAAUAUCCUGGACAGGAAUCCAUUUGGCCAGUCCACCACUUGUAGUAUCAUCUUGAUUCACUUUCAUGGGAUUUCCUACAAGACUUAAAAUAAACAUGUUUACAUUCCAGUGCUACGCGUGUCAUCUCUGAAGCUGUCGUAUACUGAGACUGUCUGAGGACAUUCUGUGACCUUAACGACCGGAUAAAACAAUGUUCUCUUGUCCAAAAUAUGUGAUUACAUGUCCACGCUGAGAUACCACCCACACGCUUUUUAAAAGCAACACAAACAGGAAGUGAAUUUAGACAAGUCAGUCAUUACUCACUCAUCAGUGGUUCUUUGGAAUCUACAUUAAGGGAACCAGUGCCUAACCCGGCAACACAGGGCGUAAGGCCAGAGGGGGAGGGGACACACCCAGGACGGGACGCCAGUCCGUCGCAAGGCACCCCAAGCGGGACUCGAACCCCAGACCCACUGGAGAGCAGGACCCGGUCCAACCCACUGCGCCACCGCACCCCCCAUUUACAGAAAUUCAGUUCUCAGAAAAAAGAUCAAGAUCCAGGUGGGCAGUCUGUGCAACAAAUUUGCAGAUAUUUUUAUGAUUUUGACUUUGAUGUUUUUUACGCUUUUAAAUAGAACUGCAACAUUUUCAGUUCAGUAUGUUUACUAAAAUAGUUUGUAUGCCUGAUAAUUUGUUUGGGUGACAUCUUUGUCCAAGGCAUCUCACUGGGAAACAAAGUAGACAUCCAGUUCUAUAUCAUUAGAGAAUAUAUAAUACUUUGCACAUUGUCAGACACUUUUCUGGUGUAACGAGCAAGGUGUACCCUGUUAGGUGGUCUAAC